rnacentral:rRNA from 1 species
UACGUAGGCAGCGAGCGUUGUUCGGAGUUACUGGGCGUAAAGCGCACGUAGGCGGCUUUGUAAGUUAGAGGUGAAAGCCCGGGGCUCAACUCCGGAAUUGCCUUUAAGACUGCAUCGCUAGAAUCGUGGAGAGGUGAGUGGAAUUCCGAGUGUAGAGGUGAAAUUCGUAGAUAUUCGGAAGAACACCAGUGGCGAAGGCGGCUCACUGGCUCAUUACUGACGCUCAGGCGCGAUAGCGUGGGGAUCAAACAGG